rnacentral:lncRNA from 1 species
AGGUGGUAAAACUUAUUUGGUUAGCAAAAACCCAAUCAUUAGUUAUAAAUUAUUUGUAUAUUGGAGAAGGUUAAGAGUAAGAGUUUUAGAUUAUGUGUUAGUGAAAUAGGUACAAGUUUUCAAAAAUAAUCUUUUCCAUUAAAGCAGUAAGAACACUAAUGAAAAGUUUCAGAGUAACUUUGUUAGAGUUGUAGAAAUUAAAGGCUAUAGUAAUCUAGAAAGUGUUUGUGUAACUAUAAAUAAAGACUGCACUUUGUGGUGUUUUCAUGUGCAUGAUUCACAGGCCUUCCUCCCCAGCUCCAUGGUAACCCUGAAAACCAGCACCCUGGAAUCAAGAUGAAGUUUAGCAGAGUGGCAACCACUGGAGGAAGUAGAAGGGUUUGGAAUUCCUUCAUAGUCUCAUUUCUAGAGAAUUCUUCAACCUUUUGGGUUGUUUCUUGGAAUAUUUUACUUAAAAAUCUGAAUUUAUUCAACCUAAUUUGGAGUUUGCCCACUGUGAACCACAGCCUUUAGCCCAAAAGCACUGUGAGAAACAAUCAAAAUCAGGGCUGGGGGUGUACCACUUGCCCAGUAUGUGUGAGAUACCGGGUUUGAUCCUCAGCAUCACAUAAAAAUAAGUAAAUAAAAUAAAGGUAUCAUGUCCAUAUACAACUUAAAUUUUUAAAAAGGCCUAAAAAAUUCAUAAGAAAAAUAAUCAAAAUCAAUUGUUGGACAUUGCAGCUGCCUAUGACAGUAGAUAACUAUUGGGGUGAACAGUGGCCUAACCAAACAGCUUAAAAGGAAAAGCAGAUAAAUGAGAUGUCCAUAAUGGCUUUGAAAAGUUCUGAUAUAUUCCAUAAAAUUUAGUUGGUUAUGUGCUUUAUAGGGCUCUAUACAUGCCAGGGCUCUAAGCAUGCUCAGGAAAAACCAGGAAGUUCUUGAUCUGUUACCUUUGGAUAACCUUGAGUCUGUGCAAAUAGAAAAUGAAGGCAAGCAGAGUCGUAAACUGCUUACCUGAGUGUUGAAGGUAUGCCUCAAUAUAUAUACAUUGAUCUUUGACAAAGGCCACUGUUCACCCCAAUAGUUAUUGAUUUAAUGGUUUGAGGUAUGUAAGAGUAUCUCUGGUUAGUCAUUAGCUGACCAUUAAGCUCAGUGAGUGGAAACUUCUGUGGUCACAGGUCAAGGGGGAGGAAAAAAAUAGAAACAAUAUCAACAGCAAACACUGGGGAUAAAGGAAAAUCUGAUUCCUAGAGUUGCUCCAUUAUACAAUUUAAUACACCCAGUGUUUGACAGUUUUUUGAGACAUGCAAAGAAAAAAUGAAGCGUGAUCCAAUUCAGG